rnacentral:misc_RNA from 1 species
GUACAUUAGUGCUUGCGCACGACAAUAGUUUUCAUUACAUUCGAGUGUGUGUAUAAAAAUCCUCUGCCGGCCAAAGCUAGCAAGAGGCCAAAGGUUCACAUGGGUAUUGGAUGAAAAGCCGCCAACGUGCACUUGCCAGAGCUGGCCAGCACUGAAGACAACGAUUCGCAAUCAAUAAUGAUCCUUCCGCAGGUUCACCUACGGAAA